rnacentral:rRNA from 1 species
AGUGAACGCUGGCGGUAGGCCUAACACAUGCAAGUCGAACGGCAGCACAGUAAGAGCUUGCUCUUACGGGUGGCGAGUGGCGGACGGGUGAGGAAUACAUCGGAAUCUACUUUUUCGUGGGGGAUAACGUAGGGAAACUUACGCUAAUACCGCAUACGACCUACGGGUGAAAGCAGGGGAUCUUCGGACCUUGCGCGAUUGAAUGAGCCGCUGUCGGAUUAGCUAGUUGGCGGGGUAAAGGCCCACCAAGGCGACGAUCCGUAGCUGGUCUGAGAGGAUGAUCAGCCACCCUGGAACUGAGACACGGUCCAGACUCCUACGGGAGGCAGCAGUGGGGAAUAUUGGACAAUGGGCGCAAGCCUGAUCCAGCCAUACCGCGUGGGUGAAGAAGGCCUUCGGGUUGUAAAGCCCUUUUGUUGGGAAAGAAAAGCAGCAGGUUAAUACCCCGCUGUUCUGACGGUACCCAAAGAAUAAGCACCGGCUAACUUCGUG